CUGUUCCGGAGGAUUCCGCGCUCUGCGCUUGGUCCACGGGUCUGGAGAAAGCCGCGAUGGCAGCGGCGGCGUUGGGGGCCGUGCUGGGGUUGGCCCCCCCGAGUCCCAGGAGGAGAAGCUGCCCCGCUGUGGGGACCCCGCCGGGCGGGCCGCCGCUCUCCAUGUUCUCCGUGUCGAUGUUCUCCAGGUCGAUCUCUUCGUCGUCGGGGUCGCGCUUGUCGCCCUCGCCGUCCUCCUCGUCGUGCUCGCUGCCGUAGGAGUUGCCCUCCUCGUCGGUGCGGCUGCGGGGCGCCCAGGUCAUCUUGUUCUCCUUCUUGAGGCGCCGCCGGGCGUUGGCGAACCAGGAAGCAAUGGGCUUGGAGGAAGGGAGAGGACGUCUAUUAUUUCCCUGCAUCUCAGCACUGCAGCCUUCUCCCCCUGGAACUGAACUCUAAAGGCUUUCCAGCCUUUAUCACAGUCCUUUUAAACAAAUAAAAGAAAAGAAAAAGAAAAGGGCAUUCUUAUUUUUAAAGCAAGCUGAAAUAUUUCUCUCCCCCUUCGCUUUUUCCCGUGCAAGUGCUGCUUCCAGAACUCACGAGGUGCAAAGGCAAGACCGAUUAAACGGGACAGAUUCGACUUUUCGGCUUUGUUUUAAAUCCUUCCCCCAAACGGAGCUGGAACAGGCCUAUACGGGCUGCACUUGAUGUGACAUUUUACGGAAAGGUGGUGGGGAUAUUUUAAACACCACU